rnacentral:misc_RNA from 1 species
GCAAACUUGGUCAUUUAGAGGAAGUAAAAGUCGUAACAAGGUUUCCGUAGGUGAACCUGCGGAAGGAUCAUUAACGUAUCUCUGGCGGUGAGGGAGGCGCCCCGCUCCGGCCCCAGCGGCCGUGAGGCGGGUGUCCCCGAGCCUUGCCAACCCCUUUGCAAACCCACCGUGCACUCAUGUCGGCAAAGGCCCUCCCGUGUCGGGGCGGGCCCUAGCCGGAUCACAAACCCCAAGUGAAAGAAUGACAAGCGGACAGUGUGCCGCCUAAAAGCUUAGAACAACUUUCAACAACGGAUCUCUUGGCUCUCGCAUCGAUGAAGAACGCAGC